rnacentral:misc_RNA from 1 species
UGGUUCUGGCAUCGAUGAAGAACGCAGCGAAAUGCGAUAAGUAAUGUGAAUUGCAGAAUUCAGUGAAUCAUCGAAUCUUUGAACGCACAUUGCGCCCUCUGGUAUUCCGGAGGGCAUGCCUGUUCGAGCGUCAUUACACCUCUCAAGCUUAGCUUGGUAAUUAGAAUCUUAAAUCUCUUUCAUCGGAGAAUUCUGAAAAUCAGUGGCGAAGAAAUUAAAACUCUUAGCGCAGUAAAUUUUCUCGUUAAAAGAUUUUUUAAUUUUUCCAGCCAAAAUAUGUCUAUUUUUUAAUAGCCUAUUUUUCUGAUUGACCUCGGAUCAGGUAGGGAUACCCGCUGA